AUGUAACCGCUGGCGGCGUGCCUAACACAUGCAAGUCGAACGAGAAAGGGGCUUUCGGGUCCUGAGUAAAGUGGCGAACGGGUGAGUAACGCGUGGGCAACCUGUACUCGAGUGGGGAAUAACCAGGCGAAAGCCGGGCUAAUACCGCAUGACAUCUCGAAGUCUCCGGGCUUUGAGAUCAAAGGUGGCGAGCUUCGUGCGCUGCCGCUUGAGAAGGGGCCCGCGUCCCAUUAGCUUGUUGGUGGGGUCACGGCCCACCAAGGCUCCGAUGGGUAGCCGAGCUGAGAGGCUGAUCGGCCACACUGGAACUGAGACACGGUCCAGACUCCUACGGGAGGCAGCAGUGGGGAAUUUUGCGCAAUGGGGGAAACCCUGACGCAGCGACGCCGCGUGGGCGAUGAAGGCCUUCGGGUCGUAAAGCCCUGUCGAGAGGGACGAACCGCCCGAGCUCUAACAUAGCUCGGGUCUGACGGUACCUCUGGAGGAAGCCCCGGCCAACUCCGUGCCAGCAGCCGCGGUAAUACGGAGGGGGCGAGCGUUAUUCGGAAUUAUUGGGCGUAAAAGGGCGUGUAGGCGGCCUCGUAUGUCCUCUGUGAAAGCCCUCGGCUCACCCGAGGAAUUGCAGGGGGAAACUUCCGGGGCUCGAGUCCGGGAGAGGAGAGCGGAAUUCCCA
rnacentral:rRNA from 1 species